rnacentral:lncRNA from 1 species
UAGGAUCAUCAUGAGGAUGGUGAUCGAUCUGAAUAGACUGACACACAGAUCGCUUCCUUCGAGAUAGAUGAGUCUUUGAUUUAUAGUGUAGGGACACUGGGUGACAAGUGCGAAUAGUUGUUAGAGAAUAACUAGUACUGAGUAUGACCAUACGGGAGAUCACUUAAAUUUUUACUAGAUCGUUAGUGAUUAUCUCGAUGCUGUACUUGUGUGAAUGAUCC